rnacentral:rRNA from 1 species
GCGGACGGGUGAGUAAUGCCUAGGAAAUUGCCCUGAUGUGGGGGAUAACCAUUGGAAACGAUGGCUAAUACCGCAUAAUGCCUUCGGGCCAAAGAGGGGGACCUUCGGGCCUCUCGCGUCAGGAUAUGCCUAGGUGGGAUUAGCUAGUUGGUGAGGUAAUGGCUCACCAAGGCGACGAUCCCUAGCUGGUCUGAGAGGAUGAUCAGCCACACUGGAACUGAGACACGGUCCAGACUCCUACGGGAGGCAGCAGUGGGGAAUAUUGCACAAUGGGCGCAAGCCUGAUGCAGCCAUGCCGCGUGUAUGAAGAAGGCCUUCGGGUUGUAAAGUACUUUCAGUCGUGAGGAAGGUGGUGUUGUUAAUAGCAGCAUCAUUUGACGUUAGCGACAGAAGAAGCACCGGCUAACUCCGUGCCAGCAGCCGCGGUAAUACGGAGGGUGCGAGCGUUAAUCGGAAUUACUGGGCGUAAAGCGCAUGCAGGUGGUUCGUUAAGUCAGAUGUGAAAGCCCGGGGCUCAACCUCGGAACUGCAUUUGAAACUGGCGGACUAGAGUACUGUAGAGGGGGGUAGAAUUUCAGGUGUAGCGGUGAAAUGCGUAGAGAUCUGAAGGAAUACCAGUGGCGAAGGCGGCCCCCUGGACAGAUACUGACACUCAGAUGCGAAAGCGUGGGGAGCAAACAG